rnacentral:misc_RNA from 1 species
CUGCUAAUGGUACUUCUGUUCCUCAUUCUAAAAGGACCUCUCCCAAGCCGAGAUUCUCUUCGGUUUCCUCGUCGGAAAUGAAGCACGUGAUCAUCCCUUCAAUAAAGCAACCAUUACCAUCACCAGUGCCUCCGCCUCCUCCUCCACCACCUCCAGCACUAUCAAAGCAAGAUAAAGCUGACAAUAUUGAACCGAGUUCGUAUUUUCCGAAAAGGCCAAAAUUCUCCGCGCCUCCACCACCACCAAAUUUGGUCCUCCUACGAUCAAUAAACAAACAACAAUCAAGUAAAAUUUCACCUCCGCCUCCGCCUCCACCUCCUCCACCACCACCGCCGCCGCCUCCUCCACAGCCGCUGGCAAUGUCAACUCCAACGAAAAUAGGAUCCUCGGAAACAGCUAAAACAAGUGUUUCUUCGACGCCUGCCACCGUGUCAUCGAAGCAACCGUCCUGUACACCAAGCCCCAGAUCCAGUUCCAAGACUGAAACGCCAAUAAUUAUUGAGCAUGUAGAUAGAGGGAUUAGUUCCUCAGAGAAAACUGAUGCAGAAGAGCAGGAUGGAGCAAAGCCCAAGUUAAAGCCCCUGCACUGGGACAAGGUGAGGGCAACCUCAGACCGAGCCACAGUGUGGGACCAGCUCAAAUCCAGCUCGUUUCAAUUAAAUGAGGACAUGAUGGAGAGUCUUUUCGGCUGCAAUUCAAAGAAUUCGAUUCCAAAAGAACCCAC